rnacentral:rRNA from 1 species
GAUGAACGCUAGCGGCAGGCCUAAUACAUGCAAGUCGAACGGUGUCUUCGGACACAGUGGCGCACGGGUGCGUAACACGUAUGCAACCUACCUUACAUUGGGGGAUAGCCUUUCGAAAGGGAGAUUAAUACCGCAUAAGACAGUAGCUGGGCAUCCAGCAGCUGUUAAAGAUUUAUCGAUGUAAGAUGGGCAUGCGUCCAAUUAGUUAGUUGGCGAGGUAACGGCUCACCAAGACUUUGAUUGGUAGGGGAACUGAGAGGUCAAUCCCCCACACUGGCACUGAGAUACGGGCCAGACUCCUACGGGAGGCAGCAGUAGGGAAUAUUGGGCAAUGGACGCAAGUCUGACCCAGCCAUGCCGCGUGCAGGAUGAAGGCGUUAUGCGUUGUAAACUGCUUUUAUACAGGAAGAAACGACUCUUGCGAGAGGCAUUGACGGUACUGUAUGAAUAAGCACCGGCUAACUCCGUG